GAAUUCGGCUUAGAGUUGAUCUGGCUCAGGAUGAACGCUGGCGGCGUCCUAAUACAUGCAAGUCGAACGAAACUUCUUUAUCACCGAGUGCUUGCACUCACCGAUAAAGAGUUGAGUGGCGAACGGGUGAGUAACACGUGGGCAACCUGCCCAAAAGAGGGGGAUAACACUUGGAAACAGGUGCUAAUACCGCAUAACCAUAGUUACCGCAUGGUAACUAUGUAAAAGGUGGCUAUGCUACCGCUUUUGGAUGGGCCCGCGGCGCAUUAGCUAGUUGGUGAGGUAAAGGCUUACCAAGGCAAUGAUGCGUAGCCGAACUGAGAGGUUGAUCGGCCACAUUGGGACUGAGACACGGCCCAAACUCCUACGGGAGGCAGCAGUAGGGAAUCUUCCACAAUGGGCGAAAGCCUGAUGGAGCAACGCCGCGUGGGUGAAGAAGGUCUUCGGAUCGUAAAACCCUGUUGUUAGAGAAGAAAGUGCGUGAGAGUAACUGUUCAUGUUUCGACGGUAUCUAACCAGAAAGCCACGGCUAACUACGUGCCAGCAGCCGCGGUAAUACGUAGGUGGCAAGCGUUAUCCGGAUUUAUUGGGCGUAAAGGGAACGCAGGCGGUCUUUUAAGUCUGAUGUGAAAGCCUUCGGCUUAACCGGAGUAGUGCAUUGGAAACUGGGAGACUUGAGUGCAGAAGAGGAGAGUGGAACUCCAUGUGUAGCGGUGAAAUGCGUAGAUAUAUGGAAGAACACCAGUGGCGAAAGCGGCUCUCUGGUCUGUAACUGACGCUGAGGUUCGAAAGCGUGGGGAGCAAACAGGA
rnacentral:rRNA from 1 species